rnacentral:lncRNA from 1 species
UGAAUGGAUGUUCUAAUUCCAAAUUCUAAUAAUAGAUUCUAACAAUAUAUGGAUAUUUUCAAUGCCAUGCAAACAGUGUCAGCAAACAGGUCUCAAGUCUACAUCUCAGGAAGCCCAUGGCGACAAUCAGCAUGCAGCAGAAUGCAACAAGAGUGAUGGACGGUGGGCCAGGUGGGACGCUGACAGAAAGACGCUUUCCUGCAUUGCACUAGUUGGAAUCUCCACAGUUCAAUCAAGCACCAGAAGUUUGAGAGCUUGCCAAAUUAUACCCAAUUUUUUAUGGUAUUUUAGAAGAGAAAAAUCAAAAAUGGGAUUUCUUGAAGUUAGAAAGUUUUUUUUGUUUUUGUUUGUUUGUUUGUUUUAAUUAACUGUUUUGGCUUUUUUCUGUUUUAUGCAUUACUUGUUUAUAUUUUUAUUUUUUAUAUCUAUACUAACAAAUGGGGAGAGUUGAUUCUUCAUAGUUUAAAAAAAUGGGAAGGAGAAGGAGAAGGAGAAGGAGAAGGAGAAGGAGAAGGAGAAGGAGGAGAAAUUGUUUACCCUUCUGAUUUAUCUUCCAGCUCUGUCUGAAAGUGAAGGGAAGAAAAAGUGAAGCAAAGCAAGGAAAAUGGACUCUUUUUCUAAAUCCACAGGCAUAUAAAAAAAAGCAGUUUUAAAGGUACUUCACAUACAGGCAUGCUC